CUUCUCUCCAUCAAGUAUUUUAAAGGGAUUUGAUAAGGGAAGAAGGAAGAAGACCAGUGAUGACCAAGAGAAGAAGAAGAGUCCAUUGCCAAACUUUGUCCAGCAACCAAUAUCUGAUAAUGGAGCAGAAGAUGAGACUGACCUCAACUUGUUAACAAGACUGGAGAUGAAGGACUAACUACUGUCUAACCUGAAAUCUUUGGUAGGUGUUUAUGCUGGCAUUGAUCCUGUUUCCAAAAGCAGCUCACCAUGUUUCUGUGAGAGUCCAAAGAGAUCAGCUAGAACCUGAAA